UACGGAGGGUGCAAGCGUUAUCCGGAUUCACUGGGUUUAAAGGGUGCGUAGGUGGGCAGGUAAGUCAGUGGUGAAAUCUCCGGGCUUAACCCGGAAACUGCCAUUGAUACUAUCUGUCUUGAAUACCGUGGAGGUGAGCGGAAUAUGUCAUGUAGCGGUGAAAAUGCUUAGAUAUGACAUAGAACACCAAUUGCGAAGGCAGCUCACUACACGAAUAUUGACACUGAGGCACGAAAGCGUGGGGAUCAAACAG
rnacentral:rRNA from 1 species